rnacentral:rRNA from 1 species
UACGGAGGGGGCUAGCGUUGUUCGGAAUUACUGGGCGUAAAGCGCACGUAGGCGGCUUUGCAAGUCAGAGGUGAAAGCCCUCGGCUCAACCAAGGAAGUGCUUUCGAAACUGCGGAGCUUGAGUAGUUAAGAGGAUCGCGGAAUUCCCGGUGUAGAGGUGAAAUUCGUAGAUAUCGGGAGGAACACCAGUGGCGAAGGCGGCGAUCUGGGAACAUACUGACGCUGAGGUGCGAAAGCGUGGGGAGCAAACAGG